AUUCAGUUGAUGAAUCUUAAAUAGGACGAAACAUACGUCUUGAAU
rfam:Schistosoma mattheei strain Denwood, Zambia genome assembly, scaffold: SMTD_scaffold0003886